rnacentral:lncRNA from 1 species
CCAAAUGGGGCCCUAAUUUCCAAAUAUCAACCCCAAAAUUCUGAGAAGAAGUGGUGUUCGUGGAUUCAACCUAGAGAAUCAGAGUUUCGUGCUAGUGGGAGACAAUGGAUGGUAACGGCUGGAAUGGAGCGAACAAAGGUAUGUCAUUAAGUUUAUAUGAUAAUGAGUAUACUAUAAGAAGAUUUGAGGGAUUCUUGGGCCCCAUUUUCUGAAGAAAAAAAAUUGUGUAUCUAUGUGUUUUCUUUUUAGCGUUUAUGCUUUCAAGGGGUUGUUGGGUCCCAUUUUGUCAUUUUUACAUACGUGCAAUUAUAAAUUUUGUGUGUAUUUGGGGUGUGAGCCACGUGUCAUGGGGCGGGCGGUAGACAGGGACGGAGCCAGAAAGAAAUAUGUCAAAAAUUUUAGUGGAGUCAAAAUUACAAAUUUCGAGUCAAAAUUGUAUUUAUUACAAAUAUUAAAGUGUUAAAAAUGUAAUUUUUUUCUUACCCCACUUGUCCCUUGCUACAUCCGCCCAUGGAAGUAGUUAGUUUUUUGGGGUGAAAUCCAAAAAAAUGGACCAAGUAGAUAUAAACUAGAGACAUUGUUGAUUAAAUUUGUGCAAUUGAUAAAACAGGGAUCAAAAUGGGUCGAAAGCAAUAGACUGGGGACCAAAUUUUCGAUUAAGCAGUUUGUGAUUAGUUCUCCCUCUUCAAGGUUCGAACGCAAGACUAGUUUGAGGUUCGAAUGAGCCAACAAGACUGGGUGUUUCGUUUAAGCUAUACUAGCUCGAGUAACUUUUGCUUUUCACGGGUCGAACAAAAUUAAAAGUAAAUACUUUUAAAAAACUUUAUUUUGAUAUAUUUUAGCUUUUACUUUCCUAAAUACUUGAGGAUGAUCAUUUUACAGUGACAUUCAAUCCUUUCAAAAGUAGAUUGUCCAAUAAAAAUAAGGUUUCUUCAUUUGAUAUGCAAAUGCAUUUUUUUUAGUCCCCAUAAGGAUAAACUAAGUUUGGUAAAGCUUAAAAAAAUAAAUUUUAGCUAGUUCCGAAAAAAAUUGGAACACCAGCAUUCCAGAUAUUCUGCCUACAAUCUUUUAAAUAUCUCCUCUCAAAAGACUCACAGCCAAAGCAAAACACCCUUAAUCAAAAAUCGGCGAACUCGAAACUCGAACCCCGACCGAACCUCGUGGUUGGCUGACGACAUCACCGACCUCAGCGAUUUCCACAGUACGGCAGCGGCCACCCCGGUCUGCUUCAUCCGAUUGACAAUCCUCCUGAACGAUUCGUUCGACCGGUCAAUCGCGUGCUCGACAUCGGCGUAAAUCUGCCCUAAUUUUUUAUCAGACUCGGUCUCGGCGUUGGUGGUGAGGAGGGCGUAGGACGCGGCGACUGCGGCGACUAGGGUUGCGGAGAAGGCGAUGAGGGAGGAGCGAGAGAGAGGGGAAAGCGGGGGCGGGUGGUGGUGGAGGAUGGGAGGAGGCGACGGCGGCGGGGGAAGGACUUGCUGGGGAUUCUUGAUAGCCUCCUUGGGGUAAUCGAGGGAAUUGUGAGAGGAAGACGACGAUGACGAUGACGAUGAGAGCGAGCGGCGGAGAGAGAAGCUGAUACAGCGGCGGUAUCGGUUACAGAGACGAAGCAUAGUUUUUUAUUUAGAAUCGAUCGAAAUGGAAAUGUUUUUGGUUGCAAUUGAGGCGAGUAUGGCGGAAUCGAGCGAGGUCUAUCAAAACAGAACCGCGAGGGAAUUUCUAAGGGAAGAUUCGAACUUUGUAACAAAGGAAUAAAACUAACACUUCACGAUCCGAUAGUUUGUUUUGGGGUUUAUGCUUUUGAACCCGACCCUGCUCAGCCUUUGGUCCAAGCCCACCAAGCCUUUAACAGUCCUCCACAUCAACGCGCAACCCAUGACCAAAAAAAGGGGUAAAAAAUGGGCCGGUUUUUAUAGUGUCUAGAUAUAGUCCUACAAAUACUGGACUCAAACAUGUUUACCUAAAAGUCCUAAUAGCCACAUUAAAUACCUAAGAUACCAUCUAAUAAAAUAGUAUACACUGGGAAAUAACUAGUGUAAGAGGAUAAUAUCCUACUUCAUUUUUUUUCCGAUCUUGGAUGAGUGUCGUCACUGUAAUGUCGCUUCAUAGUAAGUUCGGUCGGUAUCUUUACGCGGUAGCUUGGUCGGUGAGUUUAUCCUAUCGCAAUUUUCUAAGCCGAGCUUCAAGGUCAGGGUAACGUGCACGACAAGUUUCUUCUGAUCACUCGCAUGAUUAGGCUCAAACACCGAUAAUGCGAUGGUCUAACUAUCAACCACGCGCACCUAGAGGCAUGAUUGGGUUAGCCGCCUACUCACUAACAUGAUAGUCGACGUGUCCUUACAUACGCCGAGCUGCGCUACAAAAGGGGAGAGACCUCUCUUACAAGUAAACAAUGCCGACUCUCUCCCUCUCCCUACAGACUUUCUCUCUCUAAAACGAAAGUCAAAAACCUUUCUCGCUCUUUUCUUUCUCUUCUUUUUCGAUCCCUAACUUGACCGGA